rnacentral:lncRNA from 1 species
CUGAGCCUUCCUUGAAUGGUGUCCUUAACCCUCAGAAUGAGAGCAGGUAAGGUUGGCCUGCAUACCAACUGACACCCUAUUCCCUAGUGCAUGACUUUUGACCACGGCCCAAAAGAUGUACAAGGCUGCAUUAGGGCCCAAAAGGUGGACAAGGCUGCAUCAGGGCCCAAAAGGUGAACAAGGCUGCAUCAGGGCCCAACAGGUGAACAAGACUGCAUCAGGGCCCAAAAGGUGAACAAGACUGCAUCAGGGCCCAACAGGUGAACAAGGCUGCAUCAGGGCCCAACAGGUGAACAAGACUGCAUCAGGGCCCAAAAGGUGAACAAGACUGCAUCAGGGCCCAACAGGUGAAC